GACGAACGCUGGCGGCGUGCUUAACACAUGCAAGUCGAACGAAGAGCGCUGGAAGCUUGCUUCUCUCAAUCUUAGUGGCGCACGGGUGAGUAACGCGUAAUCAACCUGCCCUUCAGAGGGGGACAACAGUUGGAAACGACUGCUAAUGCCGCAUACGAUCUGACCUCGGCAUCGAGGACAGAUGAAAGGUGGCCUCUAUUUAUAAGCUAGCACUGCAGGUGGGGAGUGCGUCUGAUUAGCUAGUGGGUGGGGUAACGGCCCACCAAGGCGAUGCUCAGUAGCCGGUCGGGGAGGAUGAACGGCCCCCUUGGGACUGGGACACGGCCCCGACCCCUACGGGAGGCAGCAGUGGGGAAUCUUCCGCAAUGGACGAAAGUCUGACGGUGCACCGCCGCGGGAGUGAGGACGGCCUUCGGGUUGUAAAGCUCUGUUAAUCGGGACGAAAGGCCUUCUUGCGAAUAGGUAGACGGAUUGACGGUACCGGAAGAGAAAGCCACGGCUAACUACGUG
rnacentral:rRNA from 1 species